GCUGCUGGGUUUUCAUGAUCAGGUUCCGCCACAUGUUCUAAUUAAUUUAUCUUGUUCAUUGUUUUUGUAACUAUCACUUGAUCAAUUUUGGGAUGGUUAGCUCUUUGUUUUUGAUGGGUAGCAUAGUUUGCUUUUGAUUACAUGAGGGAGGCAUUUGAGUAUUGACCAAUGUCAAUGUGGCUUGUCAUUUGUUUGAUUGAUAUCCUCGGAAUUUUCACCGCUCUUUUCAAUCCCAUUUUUAACAAACCCUGGGAAUUCUCACUUUGCUUGCUUACAUAAUGCCAAGUUAUAGGGGUUGCUUGCUCCCAGAGCUGCAAUCAAAAUCAAAGGUUACUUGCACAUGCAAAGGUCGAAUCUGUAAAAUCAAAGGAAGUGGCUGAACAGAGGAUGCUCCUGAAGAAAAGCUGGUUUUCAUUUAGAUGGCGUACGCCUGAUGAAUCUGAUGAUGAUACUUCUGAGGGAUCACAGUCACCAGAAGAAAGACUGACUGAAGAGGAGUGGCAAGCAAUUAAUAAGUUACUAAGUUACCAGCCAGAUGAAACAUUGGCAUCUCACUCAGGAAAGGACAUGCCGAAUAUGAUCCGGUUUAUGGUAACUGUGUCAGUUGAUCGGGCUGCUGCUAGGAUCGUUGAUAUAAAUCACACUGAGAUUUUGUGUUGUAAAUUUGAGCAACUUCAAGUGUCUACGAAGUUUAAACAUCAAAGUACAUGCUGUGAUGUGUCAUGCAGAUUCUAUGGUCUGUAUGCACCGGAAGGCUCGCUUGCUCAGGUAUGUCUGUUGAGAGUAUAUUUCAUUUUCAGAAUCUCCGUGCAGUACAAAUUUACAAGACAUAAUUUCUUGGGCUUUUUUGACCAUUAGCCAGUUGGUGAACAUAAACUCAAUCGUCAACAUUAACUCAAUAGAUAACAUGACAUUCCAUCUGUGGUUCUAUGUAGAGUUUUUUAUUUUCUCAAAUCACUUUGAAAUGAAGGUCUUUCAGGUUUGGAAUGGCUCCACUUGUUGAUCAGAUCAGAGUACCUCACCCAAGUUACCUGUCAAUGCGUAUUUCAAUUCAAGUGCCAAACCUCCGAGUGCACUUUUCACCAUCGAGAUUUCAGAGACUCAUGAAAUUAUUAAACAAAUUUUAUGGUACUCUGGAAACUGUUGGUCAGCCAGCUGUUGAUAAUUUUCAAGCAGAACGUGCCCCAUGGAGUCCUGCAGAUCUUUUACACGGAUGCUAGAAUUUUAGUAUGGAAGGGGAUUGGCAAUUCUGUGGCUACAUGGCGACCUUGUUUUCUUGUGUUGUCGGGGACAAAUAUUUGUGUUUUGGAGUCUGAGAAGUCGCAGACUUAUCAGCGAUACUCCAGCAUGGCUGGUGGACAAGUAUGUGAGGUUCCUCCUACAACAAGUAUUGGUGGUUCACCAUUUGGCCUUGCUGUGAUUCACAGGGGGAUGGACACUCAAAAGGCUCUGGAGUCUUCUAGUAGCUUGAUUAUUGAGUUCCGUGGGGGGAGGAGGAGGAGGUCGUUUGGUUGAAAAGACUCAUACAAGCAACAUAUCAAGCUUCUGCUCCCUCUUCAGUUGAUGUCUUGGGAGAAACAAUUGAUCGUGUUGCUGAGAUUGGUGAGCCUCCUCAGACCGGCAAUUCUAAAACAGCUGACCUUGUCAUUAAUGGGGCAUUGGUGGAGACAAAGUUAUCUAUUUAUGGAAAGACGGGUGAUAAAGGUGCUGAAGAACUUGAUGAGACUGAUGCUUGAGGUUCUUGCCAGUCGGGGGGCAGGUUCAUAUGAUUCUUUGGGAAGGUGGCAUGACACUUAAGACAAAGCUUCACUCUUUAAAAAUCAAAGAUGAGCUUCAAGGUCGUCUCUCUACAACCCCACAGUAUUUAGCUUGUUCUGUGCUGAAGAGUGACAAUUUAGUUUCAUCCCCCGGCAUAAUUGAUCCACAUUGGAAAUAAAUGUAUGUUUUACUUCAUGAGGAGGAUGAUACUUUUACAGAUGCUUUGCCAGAUUUUAUGUCUGUAUCUGAUGCAGGCUUUGGUUCACCAACUUCAGAUACGGUUUCAUGUCUAACAACUGAGGACAGCAAUGAUGCUGCUGGAUUUGCAUCUGCUAAAGGCUUAGUCCUUGAAAAGAAUCUUGUUACAGCAAGGUGCAUUUCUGCUGAGGAAUUUUAUGAGGCGGAGGGUAGUGACUAUUCCAAUUUUGUCUUUCUAACCUUCUCGACUCUGAGUUCUAGUUCACCUGAUUAUGAUGGUAUUGACACACAGUUGAGCAUCCGUAUGUCAAAACUGGAAUUCUUCUGCAACAGACCUACUUUGGUCGCUUUAAUUGAUUUUGGCCUGGACUUAAGCUCUGUGUACAGUGAGGAAAACACUGCAGACAUUACUGAAGGUUCAGGUGACAAAUCUUUGACGAACAAAGAAAAGACCGAAGAAAUUGGGCGUGUCAAAGGCUUGUUGGGUUAUGGUAAAGGUCGUGUAGUAUUUUAUUUGAACAUGAACGCGUACGUGGACAGUGUGACUGUGUUUCUCAACAAGGAGGAUGCUUCUCUGCUUGCGACGUUUGUGCAAGAAAGUUUUGUGCUAGAUCUGAAGGUGAGGAAGUUCUGUAAUAGAAGUAUGAAUUUGCUUGAAAUUCCAUAAGCUACACUUGCUUACCUGUAAUUACAUUUACUGUUAAAUAGCAUUCUAUUGUGGGUGAGCCAGAACUAGCUUCCCAAAGUCAACAAGCUGCGAGAGAAUUCGCAUGGCCACACAGCUCCGUCCAGUCCACCUCCGAGCUGACCAC